rnacentral:tRNA from 1 species
GGGGUUGUGGCUCAGCGGUAGAGCGCUCGCCUAGCACGUGCCAAGCCCUGGGUUUGAUCCUCAGCACCACA